rnacentral:rRNA from 1 species
CCUACGGGGCGCAGCAGUGGGGAAUAUUGCACAAUGGGGGAAACCCUGAUGCAGCGACGCCGCGUGAAGGAAGAAGGUGCCAAGCAUUGUAAACUUCUUUUGUCAAGGGACAAAAUCAGGCUCGAGAGCCUGACCGCGGGUACUUGAAGAAAAAGCAUCGGCUAACUCCGUGCCAGCAGCCGCGGUAAUACGGAGGAUGCGAGCGUUAUCCGGAUUUAUUGGGUUUAAAGGGUGCGUAGGCGGACUGUUAAGUCAGCGGUAAAAGCCCGGGGCUCAACCCCGGCGAGCCGUUGAAACUGGCGGUCUUGAGAGGGCGAGAGGUAGGCGGAAUGCGCAGUGUAGCGGUGAAAUGCUUAGAUAUUGCGCAGAACUCCGAUUGCGAAGGCAGCAUACCGGCGGCGAUCUGACGCUGAGGCACGAAAGCGUGGGUAUCGAACAGGAUUAGAUACCCUUGUAGUC